GGAGAGAUGACGGAGUGGUCGAUCGUGACGGUCUCGAAAACCGUUGUUCGCAAGAACCGAGGGUUCGAAUCCCUCUCUCUCCU
rnacentral:tRNA from 1 species